rnacentral:rRNA from 1 species
GCUUGACUGUAUCUUGGAACUGGGUUCGGGCUUUUCUUGCGCAGACUAGGUGGGAGGCUAUGAAGAUUUUCUUCUGGGAAAGUUGGAGCCAACAGUGAGAGACCACUCUGGAAAGGCUAGAAUCCUAAUGGUGAUCCUUGAAUCAGGACACUUGACAGUUUCAGGUGGGCAGUUUUUCUGGGGCGGAAGCCUCAUAAAAGGUAACUGAGGCGCGCAAAGGUCCCCUCAGUCUGGACGGAAAUCAGACAUUGAGUGUAAAGGCAAAAGGGGGCUUGACUGCAAGACCCACACA